rnacentral:lncRNA from 1 species
CUCCCGGCCGGCGGGGUCCGCCGCGGCCCGCGGGCCCCCGAGUCCUGACUCCCGGCGCGGGGGGCACCCGUUUGGCAGACAGAGAUGGGAAUCCCGAACCGCAGGGACACGUCCAGCCUCUGACCCGAAAGGGGGAAGUGAUCUGGUUCUGCUCGGCGGGAGGUUAGCAGAGGAACAAAGAUCCUACAUGUUUUUAGUAAAGAAAGCUGCAUUUGACAGUAAAGGAGAGCUGCAUCUGAGAAUCACAGGACUGCUGCCAAGAUGCCUCCAGGGAAAAUACCAGCAACCAGAGCACUCCCUGUCCAACCUGAGCAACCGGUUAAGUGCGGCUUCUUGGGCUGAAGGUGGGUGGAAAUAGGGAACAGUAUGACAUGCUUUUGAAAACAUGUAUCACACCACUGUCUUCUCGGAGGAGCAGGGGCUCCUGAGGGUUUCUUCAAAAGAUUUUUGUCUUGUUUAUCUCUAAUCUAGCCUGGGGUUCCUUGGGACAUUUAUCUAGACCAAAAACAAAAAAGAGCAAGUGGUUGAGAUUUUGAAUGUUUUUUACUCUUUUGGAAUAAGAAAUCAGGUUUGAAAAUACUUUCUCACUGUGGUGUAUUCUUGCCAGUGACUCUUUACAUUCUAGUUCUUGUUUAUUAAUUAUGAUCAGGAUUGAUACUGCUAAGCAAAGAAACUUUCUUUAGCAAAGAAACUAAAGACAAUUCAGAAAGAGUAGAAAACUCAAAUAA